AAAAGCUGACUAUACUAUGUUCCUGAGCUACAUGGGAUAUUUCUGGAAUUGACCUGUAACUUCUCUAGCACAAGAAACCACUAAUGACAGCUACCACCUAAGUAAAUGGCAUGUGUAAGUAUCCCUCGACAGCUUAAGUAUCUCUUCUGGAUGGGAUGUACUUCGUCAAGAGUAACUAUCAUUUUCAGCACCAAGAUGGUCUCAGAUAAUCCAUCUGUAAAAAUGGCACUUCAAGCUCUGGAAAUAAAAAGAACUGAGCCAGG